rnacentral:lncRNA from 1 species
UGGUACUCUAGUCAACACCUUGCUAAUCUACUGAAAUUGCUGUGGUGGUAAUUUCCAGUGACUUCGAAAGCGCCAAGUCCAAUAAACUUCGUCAGUUUCCACUUCCCACCUUAUUUGACUUAACUGGGGCACUGGAGAUGUUUAAUACCAUGGCUUCUGAGAGGUAUCUCAUGGCUCUUCUCCUCUCUGAUUUGUCCUUCUUUCUCUACUUUACUGGCUUCUAUUCUUUUACGUGUACCUUGAAUGUUGUGUUUUCCUUGGAGGUUGUUCUUGGCUUCCUUCUCUGUUUGUUCUCCAUUCUCUCUCUGGGCAUCUACUUCCCUGUUUUCACCAUGACUCAAUUCUCUACCCAACUCUCCCCUGAGUUCUGAUUAUUGUGUCAAAACUACUCACAGAAUGCUGGUUCCUGGUAUUCCACAGACUGUAAUGCAAUUGAAGGAUUGAAGGUAGGGACUGAACCUCAUGCAUCUGUGAGUUCACAGCAUCUACAAAGCUUGGUGUGCAGUUGUAGGGAUGUAUAUGUGAACUCUUGGUUAGCGGAGUGCAAAAACACUGAAUUUAAAUUUAAAAGAUGAAGCUUAGGUGUUGACUCCAUCAUUUAUCAGCUGUGUGACUUUGGGUCUUGUUCAGUUUGCUGUGUUCUCUACUGCCAUCUGGUGGUCAAGAAGGAUCAAUCACUGCCCUUGCAAUGAAGAACUCUAUGAAAGCGAAGGCUUGGCCAUUUUGUGUUCAGCUCCUUCCAGUUAUCCUCUUGUGCAGGCAGAGUUGAGAAGCAAUGAUGUGGACUAAUGAUUCUAAGUUGGGAGCUUUCCUGACCGUUCCCCGAGUCUGGGGAAAUUUUUCUAAUGACAUAUGAUCCUUUGGAGACAUGCCUCCAUCACUCACACUACUAAUGUGAGCCAGCAUCAUCUGAGAUGAGUAUUGAAGCCCUUGAGGGAAGAGAUAAAGGCUAGAAAAU